rnacentral:rRNA from 1 species
AGCGAACGCUGGCGGCAGGCCUAACACAUGCAAGUCGAACGAACUCUUCGGAGUUAGUGGCGGACGGGUGAGUAACACGUGGGAACGUGCCUUUAGGUUCGGAAUAACUCAGGGAAACUUGUGCUAAUACCGAAUGUGCCCUUCGGGGGAAAGAUUUAUCGCCUUUAGAGCGGCCCGCGUCUGAUUAGCUAGUUGGUGAGGUAAUGGCUCACCAAGGCUACGAUCAGUAGCUGGUCUGAGAGGAUGACCAGCCACAUUGGGACUGAGACACGGCCCAAACUCCUACGGGAGGCAGCAGUGGGGAAUCUUGCGCAAUGGGCGAAAGCCUGACGCAGCCAUGCCGCGUGGAUGAUGAAGGUCUUAGGAUUGUAAAAUCCUUUCACCGGUGAAGAUAAUGACUGUAGCCGGAGAAGAAGCCCCGGCUAACUUCGUGCCAGCAGCCGCGGUAAAAC